CAAUAGCGUAUAUUAAAGUUGUUGCGGUUAAAAAGCUCGUAGUUGGAUUUCUGCUGAGGACGAUCGGUCCGCCCACUGGGUGAGUAUCUGGCUCGGCCUUGGCAUCUUCUUGGAGAACGUUGCUGCACUUGACUGUGUGGUGCGGUAUCCAGGACUUUUACUUUGAGGAAAUUAGAGUGUUUCAAGCAGGCGCACGCCUUGAAUACAUUAGCAUGGAAUAAUAAGAUAGGACCUUGGUUCUAUUUUGUUGGUUUCUAGAGCUGAGGUAAUGAUUAAUAGGGAUAGUUGGGGGCAUUCGUAUUUAACUGUCAGAGGUGAAAUUCUUGGAUUUGUUAAAGACGGACUACUGCGAAANCANNNGCCAAGGAUGUUUUCAUNGA
rnacentral:rRNA from 1 species